GUCAGUACACUCGGUGCCUUAGCUCACUCAUCUCUCCUCUCCUUUGUGUUUCCGAGAAAUAACUACGGAUUUGACCAUGAAGCUCUCCGUUCUCUUGUCGGGCGCCAUCUGGCCUUCUGCUGCGCCUUCGUCAGCUCCACGAUCAUCCCCAUCGUGACGGGAACUGUCGGGGCGACGAGUACCCUAGGACUGACGGUGUCCUCGGCCUCCCUAGCCGCCGGACUGGCAGGAGCGGCUGCCACGGCUGGGAUCGUCGGACUUGGAUUGGCAGCUCUGCGCGUGGCUGCUCAUCGGCGUCCCGGACACAA